rnacentral:lncRNA from 1 species
GCUAAAAUAAGACUGGAACCCAGAUCACAAUAUUUGUAACCUAGUCCUUGGCAUCUUUUCUUUUCCUUUUGGAUCUGUGGGGUCCUGAAAAUAGAAGUGGCAUGGUAGGGGUUUCCCUUGACUAUCAGCCCAGCAGCUCCAAACCCAACCAGUCCCCACCUGCCCUCACUAGCACAGGUGUGUCAAGCCUCCGCCCUUCCUCCCGCCUUGAUGACAGAUAAAUCUUGUUUAGCUGAUGAGAUGUCCUGCACUGAGGCAGAGCACACCAGACAGUCCAUCCACAGCCACAAUCUACAAAGCCGCUUCCCGAAUUUCUAUCCCCCACCCCCCGACCUAGUGCACCGUGGGAUGCCGAGGGCCUGUGGGCCGGAGGGGACUCUGCCAGGCAAGCCCUGGGGGAGGUCUCUGAAUGCCCGGACACCUUCAGGGCUGCUCAGGCGACCCUGCCUUCAGCCCACCCCGGGCCUGCCUCACCCACAGGGAGCGCCCAGGUGAAGAAGUUGCUUCGGUCCACGUCGAAGGCCACCAUGACCACCGCGGGACCGGGAGCGGAGGAAAGGACCUCACGUGGCCCAGGGUGAGCCCCAUCCGGGCCAGGAGCAGGAGCAGAAAUAAUACAUCUGACAUUUUCCCACAUCCGUAUGGGAUAUGGAUGAUCACACUGUUGUCCUCAUCGUUAUCUUCCAUGCCUUCACUGUUUCCCUGUUGUGUUUAUGAGCAUAUGGACUUAUCUGUUGAUGGACCACUAGCUGUUGUUUGUAAGUUUUAUUUGGUUUUGCUUUUGUAUCUUUGCUUAUGUAUCCCAUAAUCUCCUCAGGACAAAUUAAUGGAAGCAGAAUUGUUGGGACAAAGAGAAUGCAGUUACUGUUAUUGAUGGCACAUAUGAAUUCACUCAUUUAAAUAGGCUUUUUUGUUGUGAGGAAAAGAAAAGUUUAUUCCAAUAAACAAGGACUAAAAUCAGGGAGAUUCUAGCAGCUAGCUGGGAAAAGUUGAGUUUAUUACAUCAAAUAGCAGCAGCAAGCUGGGAGAGAUUUUUUCCUUGAGUGGAUGGGCUAACACUAGGAGAGAGAUAUUAGCAGCUAACUGGGAAAGGAAUUAGGCUUAUAUAGGUAUUGAAGGGGCUCAGGAAUCUGGGGUAAAAUGUUCAUGAUGGGGUCAAUGACAGUCUG